CAGUCGCCACGGUAAUACGAAGGGGGCUAGCGUUGUUCGGAAUUACUGGGCGUAAAGGGCGCGUAGGCGGCCAUUCAAGUUAGAUGUGAAAGCCCUGGGCUCAACCUAGGAAUUGCAUUUGAUACUGUUUGGCUUGAGUUCGGGAGAGGUGAGUGGAAUUCCCAGUGUAGAGGUGAAAUUCGUAGAUAUUGGGAAGAACACCGGUGGCGAAGGCGGCAACCUGGUCCUUGACUGACGCUGAGGCGCGAAAGCGUGGGGAGCAAACAGGAUUAGAUACCCGAGUAGUCCCUGUCUCUUAUAC
rnacentral:rRNA from 1 species